rnacentral:rRNA from 1 species
AUUGAACGCUGGCGGCAGGCCUAACACAUGCAAGUCGAGCGGAGCGGCGGACGGGUGAGUAAUGCCUAGGAAUCUGCCUGGUAGUGGGGGAUAACGUCCGGAAACGGGCGCUAAUACCGCAUACUAUCAGAUGAGCCUAGGUCGGAUUAGCUAGUGGGUGGGGUACAGGGCUACCAAGUCGACGAUCCGUAACUGGUCUGAGAGUAUGAUCAGUCACACUGGAACUGAGACACGGUCCAGACGCCUACGGGAGGCAGCAGUGGGGAAGAUUGGGCAAUGGGCGAAAGCCUGAUCCAGCCAUGCCGCGUGUGGGAAGAAGGUCUGCGGAUUGUAAAGCACUUGAAGUUGGGAGGCGUUACCAACAGAAUAAGCACCGGCUAACUACGUGCCAGCAGCCGCGGUAAUUC